GCCUGGGUGGCUCAGUCGGUUGAGCGUCUGACUUCAGCUCAGAUCAUGAUCUCACAGUUUGUGGGUUCGAGCCCCACAUCAGGCU
rnacentral:tRNA from 1 species